GACGAACGCUGGCGGCGUGCUUAACACAUGCAAGUCGAACGGAAAGGCCCUGCUUUUGUGGGGUGCUCGAGUGGCGAACGGGUGAGUAACACGUGAGUAACCUGCCCUUGACUUUGGGAUAACUUCAGGAAACUGGGGCUAAUACCGGAUAGGAGCUCCUGCUGCAUGGUGGGGGUUGGAAAGUUUCGGCGGUUGGGGAUGGACUCGCGGCUUAUCAGCUUGUUGGUGGGGUAGUGGCUUACCAAGGCUUUGACGGGUAGCCGGCCUGAGUGGGUGACCGGCCACAUUGGGACUGCGGUACGGCCCAGACUCCUACGGGAGGCAGCAGUGGGGAAUAUUGCACAAUGGGCGGAAGCCUGAUGCAGCAACGCCGCGUGCGGGAUGACGGCCUUCGGGUUGUAAACCGCUUUCGCCUGUGACGAAGCGUGAGUGACGGUAAUGGGUAAAGAAGCACCGGCUAACUACGUG
rnacentral:rRNA from 1 species